rnacentral:rRNA from 1 species
UACGUAGGGGGGCAAGCGUUUGUUCGGAUUUACUGGGCGUAAAGAGCGUGUAGGCGGUCCGGUAAGUCCGCUGUGAAAGUCGGGGGCUCAACCCUCGAAUGCCGGUGGAUACUGUCGGGCUAGAGUGCGGAAGAGGCGAGUGGAAUUCCUGGGUGUAGCGGUGAAAUGCGCAGAUAUCAGGAGGAACACCUAUUGCGAAGGCAGCUCGCUGGGACGCAACUGACGCUGAGACGCGAAAGCGUGGGGAGCAAACAGG